AUUUUCAUAAUAUUCUCUCUUAAAGCAUUACAUGCCGUAAACUUCAUACCUGUGGUCCACAACUGUUCCCAGUCAGCAAACAUAAUGUUAUGUCCAAAAUCUUGUGCCCAUUUAAUCAUAGCAGAUUUCACCGUUUCAUCCUGAGUAUUCCAUUUCAACAGCAAGUUAUACAUCUUUGACAAAAUCUUAGUUUUGGGUUCUAACAGUUCUGUUUCUAAUUUUGAUUUUUCCACCUGGAAGCCAAUUUUCUUGUCCAAAUUAUAUGCCUCCAUUAUCUGAUAAUAAUGAAGCCAGUCUUGCACUUUAUUUUUUAGUUUCUCAAAACUCUGCAGUUUCAGUCUAUCUCCAUCUUGUUCCAAAAUUUCCCAAUAUUUCAGCCAAUUGGCCUCCAUAUUGAGCCUUUUCAGAGCUUUCGCUUCCAUCGGUGACAGCCACCUUGGGGUUUUGUUUUCCAAUAAAUCCUUGUAUCUUAUCCAAACAUUAAACAAUGCUUUCCUGACAAUAUGGUUUUUAAAUGCUUUAUGCGCUUUGACCUUGUCAUACCACAGAUAUGCAUGCCAUCCAAAUACAUUGUUAAAACCUUCUAGGUCCAAAAUCUCUGUGUUUUCAAGAAGUAGCCAUUCUUUCAACCAGCAAAAAGCUGCUGAUUCAUAGUAAAGUUUAAAGUCUGGCAGGGCAAAUCCACCCCUUUCCUUUGCAUCAGUUAAUAUCUUAAAUUUUAUUCUGGGCUUCUUGCCCUGCCAGACAAAUCUAGAAAUAUCUCUCUGAAUGGACACUACUUCUUGCCAUCAAAGUUAUUAUGAUGGUGAUGGUGAAUAAUUCCCUUUUGCAUAUUUGUCUCACUGUGAUUUACAGACAUAUCCUAAAAACAGCUAAUAUGGUUUUAAAAUCAACAACUGAAGUUAAUACAGAAUGGAUACCUAAGGCAGGGACCUUUUCAUCCAGCUGGAAAAGCUUGUCAAAGCUAGAGCUACUUCAGCUGUUUUUGGAAAGUGCAGAUGGGGGCACCUCUCAUAUAUCACAGGAAUGCUCUUUCACAGAACAGGGCAGCCACAUUGAAAGCCCUGCCCCAUGCAGAGUGGGUUUCUGAUAUUGGCGGGACUUUCAGGAGAAACUUUAAGGAUUUUACUAUAGGAAAAGGCUUGGUAUGAGAAACCUACGUAGGCCAUUUGUGUCGUGAGCAAAUGAUCUAUGAGCUCCCUUUGACCAAGUUCCUAUGGAAAAUGCUGCUGACCAAGUCAAAAUGUUAGAGCAUCAGAGCCAAACAUUAGUCAGAUCAGAUCAAUCCUGGCAGUGCUGAGCUUCUUAUCUUCGUACAGUGCCCUGGGAUAAGCCCCACACCAUAGAGGGACUUACAUCUAAGUAAACGGGUGCUACAAUACCCUAAACUCUAAAAACAUUAAUUAGCAGUUAUAUAGAAAAAUGCAUGUUGCAGAGUCCAGAAGAUUAAUUACACCAGAAACCCCAAAAUGUCUUACAGGUAGACUGUCAAAAAUAAUGAGCACAAGAUUCAAAAUGUAUGAUUAAAUUGUUCCGCAAAUGAACAGAAUACUUAAUUUCUUUCAGUUACAUAAGCAUUUAAAUAAUCUAUUUAGUCACCCUUGUUACAUAUUAAUUCACUAUUGGUCAGACCUUAAGCAAGCUAUUACAUGAGGGUCAUUCGAAAUGCUGUUCUGAUUAGUUAGUCCGCCUCCGCCUGCCAUGUAGGCAAGUUAAGGCUUGUAUGAAUUUGUCAGAAUCAUCUUAACUUCAUUCUAUUUGUCAGGCAUAGGAACUCUUUAUUUGCCUCAUUUUUUUCUUAAAGCAUUUCUACACUUGUCUGUUACAUUUCCAUUUCCAUGGAAGCCUCGCCAUAUUUAAAAGCCAUAACCAAACCUAUAUAGAUAUAUAGGUUUCCACGCUUCUUGCAGGGGUUUUGUUUUGUUUAGUUUGUUUUUAAAAAGAUUUUAACUUACAAAAUUGCAUUUCCCUUUAUGCACCUUUAUGGUCUUCUGCGAUGAAGUCACAGUGCUGACAUCAUCUUACUGUGAAAAUUGCAUUGCUGAUCAGAAGCAACCCUUGUCAGACUCAUACUCAAAGUAAAUUUUAAAAGCCCUCUCAUUCUUGAAAAGUAAUCCAAUGAAUGGACUCAGAAAUGAUGUGAGAUGAACAAAUUAUGAAGAUCAUUUCAUUUUCAGUAUAGGUUUGCAUGCAUUUGUUCUGCCUCUGGUACUUAUCAUGGAGGAAUCAUUGCUUCCAAUGGAAGACUUCCUUUCCCUCCCUUCUGGGGACACAUUCCAGUAAAAAUUAAGCAUCUUUAAGGUUUCAGACUAGGCACACCAAACUGAAAGUCAGCCCCACUGAAAACUGUUAAGAUUUAGUUCUAAAUAAACAUGUAUAUAGGUCCAAGAUGUAAGUCCCAUUUACAUUAAGGUCUGUAAAGCUACUAUCUACCGUAUUUUUCGCUCCAUAAGACGCAGGGCAGGCCGAGUCGUCCUCUUAUAUACCUGCUGGGAUUGACAAGGCAUCUGACCCUCACCUGAAUCUCAUAGCUGUCCUGUAGCUGCCUCUGAUUAGUUAUCAUUUAACUCUUGGGGGAAAUAAUUAGCAUCACACGCCAUGUGCAUUGAAGUUGCCAAACCAAUUAACCAACUAGAAGGAUUACUGUUAAUAGCACCAGUUUUCCUGUAACUUGAUAUUGCCGGAUAGUUUUGAUGAACUGCAAAUGCAUUUUUAGUUUGCUUUCUGUUGCCACCCUGGACCUUUUCUUUAUUAGUGCCACUUUGUUUUGUACAAUUCCUUGCAAAUGAAGGAAAACAACUUUUCUGCUUGUAUAUGUUGAUAACAUAAUUUUGGUUACUGAGGACAAACAAGACUGCACAAAAACAAGAUUGGGUGCAGGCCUGGCCAGGACAUAGGUGUUGGAGCUGCUGUGAACUUCAAGGUCCCUGCUCUCCCUUCUUAUGGUCUUUGUAUUGGACCUGGAGACUCCAAUAGAGAGCAUUCCAUGUCAAGAAGGAGGGCAAGUGGGCACUCUAUCAAAUAACAGGGCAGGAGUUACACAGAGCAGGGCCUUUUCACUGGUGGUGCUCAUUAUAUGCCUUGCUCUUCCCAGACCUGCUCUCUUUUGGCCUGUAUUUUGGAGCUUUAUAAAUUAGGAAGACUUUGGAAGAGCUGAUUGAUAAGUCUUAUCAGCUGCUGUUGUAUGAGUGGAUUUUAUUUGCUGCUGUAUCUGCACAGCAGGGGGUGUUCAGUAAACAGGGCAAAGGCUGAGCUGAAGCAUUCCCUGCUGGUUACCUGCUUUCAGCAAUAGGGGUCACUGUUUGGUAGUACCCAAUUGGUUAGCUGUCAGAUUCUAGAGCUCCCUAUUGGUGGCUCUUAGGUAAUUCACAAAUACAGAGUCCAUUCAUAGAACACAAUGUUCAUUCAUAAAGCAGUAACAUGCCGGUAAUACCCAUUUGCCUGGAAGUAAGACCCGCUGAACUCAGUGGAACUGUUUCUGGAUAGAUAGGCAAAAGAGCUACUCUCCUGUUGAAAUUGAUGGGAUUUGGAAACAACAUCUGAGUUGAGUUGUCCCUUUAAAUUCUAAGAUACUGCCAGUUAACGUCCAGACAUUUUAAAGGUUAUAUUUGUGCCCUCAAAAUCUAGAAUCAUAGAAUGGUUUGGCACAUUUAUUUACAGAGACGAGAGAGAUUGUUCUCAAAGCAGGAGACCUGAGGUCCUUCAGAAGUUGCUGCUGUCCGUUGAUCAUGCCGGCUGGGCAGUGGCGGAGCUUCAUGCUCUGGCACCGGGAGCAGAGAGCAGGAGGAGGCGGGGGUGGCGUACAUCCCGAAAGCGUGGGCGCAUGUCCCAGGGGCGUGGCAUGCUGCUUGCAGGGGCGUGGCGCCUGUGGGGGCUGGGUGCCCAGCCGUGAUGGCACCCUGGGGAUCGUGCUGCCGGGGGCGGUGUGCUCCCCCCGCACUCCUCUUCCUCCGCCAGUGCGGCUGGGCUGUAUGGUAGCUGGAGCCCAACAACAUCUGGACAAGUUUCCAACGUCUGGUUUAAAUCUUUUAUAGCACGUCCAGGCUUGAGUUGCUAUAUGGAAAUAAGUUCUUAAUGUGAGAAUUGUCCUGCUUAGAUCUCAUCAAAAGCCCCAUCUAGUUCAGCAUCCUUUUCACACAAUCGCCAACCAAAUGCCCUUGGGAAGCUUGCAAGCAGGACAUUUGUUAGGUAAAGGCUAUUUCAUUUGUCAGUAUGAAGAGGAGGCACAAUCAGGCCAGAAAUGAAUGUACAAAUUUCCCUUUAUUCCAUUUAUUAAAAUUAAUUUUGUAAUUAAUUGGGAUUGAGUGUGGCUAUGUAUGAAUAUUUUUAAGGAUUGUAUGAAAUGUAUGUUUGUUUGUUUGUAUAUACGUAACAUGUGUGUAUUAAUGCUGAAUUAUUUUGAU